rnacentral:misc_RNA from 1 species
AAGAUUAACACUAAGAAUGAGUACUAAUUGACUAAUAAAUUCCAAUCAUAGACAUUGUCAUUUGUUCAACUAAACCUACUUAUGAUUAGCAAAAACAGCUCAGUGAGUGAGGGUCCAGUGGGGUGUUUGGAAUAUUUUGGUGCAAAUGUAAUGAUGUAUUUGAGCAAGAAAAUAAUUGAGAUGCUGCAAGAGUCCUGAACAUGGGGCAAAGGGACCUACUACAAUUGAUAUUUGUUCAUUGGCAACGUGGGUUUGCGUUUUUUCCCCCCAUUACAUGAUUAAACUAAGGCAACCAUUUUUUGUGUGUGUGUGUUUUUAUACUCGAAGCCUCACUAAAUCACUAUUAUAUAAUAUGGCACAGCAGAUCAAAUAUAACAAGAAGACAUGGGAAAAAGGUGUAGAAAAAUAUAUCUUGACAUGAGAGGUGGAGAAGUAAAGCAAACAAAGUGUCUGAACUUGUAUCCUCUGGUGUGUGCAUAUUCGGAUUUUCGUACUAGCUUUUUCUUUACACCUGGUUUUUUAGGUUGAAUCUAAUUAAUGACAAAUUAGAAAACAAGUCGUUACAAAUUGUACAUUAACUAUUGGAAGUAAACUUUGUUAUCUUAAAACUUUCACUAAUCUCUCGUGUGUCUGCUUUAUAUUCUUUACUGACAAAGGAAAAAGGCUCCAAAGAAACAUAAAUUGACCCAAGUGGAUAAGGUGAGGGUGUCUGUUUCUCAAUUGGAAAAAGGAGGAGCAAUAAACUGAUGGUGUAAGUUAAUAAAGGCCAAAAAGAUAUGAGAUGAAUUUGGGGCCACAGGUCACCAGCCAGAGGUACAAAACAAUUUCCAAA